AUCAGGUUUGCAUGUCAGGAAGAUUGCUUUGGCCACAGUGCAGAGGGUGCGUUGGACAGAGAAGGAAAGUGGGAGGGGUCUCACUGAGACCCUUCUGGAGAUCCACGGGUUCACAUCUUCUUUACUUUCCUCAACAGCCCCUCCAGGUGCCUGUGCAAGAUGUGGGAACUGCAGCACAGGGAGGGAGGAACGGCUACAGUUCGCCGGCCACAGGCCAGUGCAUGCGUGCUCAGUGGCCUCCAGCCGUGGCCACAUCCCAGGAAGAGGCAAUGCGAGUCUGAUCUAAGGCAGGAAGAGGCGCGGCAAGGCGGAGAGGACAGACUCCAGAUGGGCUUAAAACCAGAUUCCUAUCCUCAGGUCGAGUGGUCACCUAACCACCGGAACACCUGGCGGAGAUGCAAACACACGGGACCGCCCGAGCAUCACUUCGGAGAAGGACAGAUGGGAUCCUUAGUCUUCCAUCAGUGAUAGCUAUACUUGGAGCUGCUUUCCGGGCACGACAUGGGCGCUCUAAUCCGUCCAUUCCACACCCCAGGCUCCUCGUGGUCCUCGAUAGGUGCAAUGAUUGUAUUCUGAGACUCCGUUCACUCACGUACUCCAGGCUUGAGUCUCC
rnacentral:lncRNA from 1 species